UGGUACUAUAGGCAUGCCAUUCAAAACAUAGUUAAUAAAAUGUUAUUCCUGGGCCUAGCAGCCUAUCACACAGAAUGGUUAUGAACCUGACUAUAAUCACUGCAAUACUCAAUUUACUUUAGGACUAUUAUUUUCUAAUGCUGUUCCCUUUCGUGGCUGAUUUGAAAUGAAUGAUAUCUUCAUGUAUUCUCCUGGUGAAUAUGUUUUUCAGCUCGAAGCAGCAGCAGUUAACUUA
rnacentral:misc_RNA from 1 species